rnacentral:rRNA from 1 species
AAUUGCAGAAUUCAGUGAAUCAUCUGAAUCUUUGAACGCAUCUUGCGCUCCUUGGUAUUCCGAGGAGCAUGCCUGUUUGAGUGUCAU